rnacentral:rRNA from 1 species
CAGGGAUUGCCUUAGUAACGGCGAGUGAAGCGGCAACAGCUCAAAUUUGAAAUCUGGCCCUUGGGUCCGAAUUGUAAUUUGUAGAGGAUGAUUUUGGUGCGGUAUCUUCCGAGUUCCUUGGAACAGGACGCCUUAGAGGGUGAGAGCCCCGUACGGUUGAAUGCCUAGCCUCUGUAAAUCUCCUUCGACGAGUCGAGUAGUUUGGGAAUGCUGCUCUAAAUGGGAGGUAAAUUUCUUCUAAAGCUAAAUAUUGGCCAGAGACCGAUAGCGCACAAGUAGAGUGAUCGAAAGAUGAAAAGCACUUUGAAAAGAGGGUUAAAUAGCACGUGAAAUUGUUGAAAGGGAAGGAUUUGUGACCAGACUUUUUCUGGGCGGAUCAUCCGGGGUUCUCUCCGGUGCACUUCGCCCAGUAAAGGCCAGCAUCGGUUUUCGGCGUGGGAUAAAAGCAGUAGGAAUGUGGCUCUCUACGGGGAGUGUUAUAGCCUAUUGUAUAAUACCGCGCUGGGGACCGAGGUUCGCGCUUCUGCAAGGAUGCUGGCGUAAUGGUUAUCAAUCACCCGUCUUGAAACACGGACCAAGGAGUCGAACAUUUGUGCGAGUGUUUGGGUGUUAAACCCUCACGCGUAAUGAAAGUGAACGGAGGUGAGAGCCCUUACGGGUGCAUCAUCGACCGAUCCUGAAGUUUUCGGAUGGAUUUGAGUAAGAGCAUAACUGUUCGGACCCGAAAGAUGGUGAACUAUGCGUGGAUAGGGUGAAGCCAGAGGAAACUCUGGUGGAGGCUCGCAGCGGUUCUGACGUGCAAAUCGAUCGUCAAAUCUGCGCAUGGGGGCGAAAGACUA